ACUUGUUUGUUAUCAUAUUGUGCAUGUCCUUAAUUGAGAGUUUCUAUAGUCAUAUCGAUUUAUCUAGUUUGCAUGCCCUUAUUAUGAUAAGCUAUAUCGUCUGCAUAAAUGUCAUCUAAUUGAUCUGUAAAUAUGAAUAUUGGUAUGCGUUUGUUGGUGUCUUGUUGAUAGAAAUCUUUAUGUACCCAAGAAAAGGGUGGACGGGUCCGGUACAUAAGGAACCCUACUGUGAACGUUACCUCAGCCGGACGGGGCUGAGAAGUCCCUUAUCAGAAAGGUUUAGGAGAUAUGAUUCAACAUCAUACCGGACGGAGUAUCGAGACGAUAAAAUAUUUAGCGCCCAUUAUCGGACAGGGUAUGGGGACGGCCGGUUAAUUGUUAAAAUUAGAUAUUGGAUUCACAAGUAGGGGAACAUCUCUAUGGACUUCCAAGGGUACCAGUAAGCAAGUAAGAAAGGAAAAUUGUGGUCUCUUGUUCUCUGAUGCGUGAAAAUGAAAAAUGAUAUAGAUAUGGGUCUUCAUAUAUUAUUUUUUGAAAAACUCGUAACGAUAAGUAUCAAACUAAUAUUUUAAGUUAAAUGCAUUUAAUUAAAGUAAAUGCUUCAUUAGUUAUUUUUUUUUUUUUGAUUUUUACCGAUUUUCAGUUUUUCGUAUUUGUUAUUAGUAUUUUUUCUAAUUAAAGAAUCAAACAAAUGUCUUACUGGCUAGUGUAGCUCAUCAUUUCAUUAACCAUUUCAUAUUAAGAAGAUCAAGAUCUAAAUCCCGAUCAAAAAGAGAGUUGUGAGUAGUUCACCACCUGGACUUCCUUCAAGUACUAGUGAAGGUUGUCCUAGGAUGCUUAUUUAUUCAUAUUUUUAUAUUACUGUUUGACUUUUAGAAAAGACAUUCCCGUAUCCCUAUUAGGUAUUCUAAAUUAUUGUGUAAGAAAUGUAAACCCUAACUCUAUCAUUCACUUCCCUAUUUAAAUUAUAAAUUCAUUUCCUUGAAGGUUCUGGGCCUUUACAGUUUGUAUUAGAGUCACGUUCCUCGGAAUCAUUCAUUCCACAAAGAUUUGAAACAUUUAAAUAUAACUUGUCUCUUAACCCUUCAUUGUGACAAAUAAGUAUAAGGACAUGAGGAAAGGAGGACCCCCACUAAAUAAGGCAGCUCGAGAUGGGUCGCUUCAAGUGGAUGUUGAUUAGCUCUUCGAGAUGUUAGAGAGACUCAUCUUUUCCCAGCAGGCCAGGGAAGAGAGGAGGGAGCAGUUUGACCCUCCACCAUUGCCACAAUAUGAGCCACCCCUAUAACGAGAGGAUUUAGUGCCAAUUCGAUACAACCCUGCCCCUCCACUGCAUCAUCCGGCACCACCACAGUAUAAUCCGAUGCCCCACCAUACAAUUAGGUGCCACCAUUGGGUCACUUGGUCCCUCUCUAGCAUAAUCUGGUUCUUCUUCAAUUGAAUGCAACAAGACUUGCUAGCACCGCGACAAGGACCAUAGGGACUGACCCUGCUAUCACCUCAACAACACCUGCCGUAUUUGCAAAAAUGCCCAGUACUAUGUGAGAGAGUGUUUGCAGUCCAAGGCAUAGUCUAUUACCCUCACUCAACAAGAUACUGAAGCCAACUUGGAUGUGAUACAAGGAAAACCUAAGAAAAAUGUUUGUAUUCGAGAAAUCCCCAUUGUUCGAGAAAUUUCAUAUGUGUUUCCUAAUGAACUACCCGGACUGCUAGUGGAUAGGGAAGUUGAGUUCACCAUAAACCUUCAGCCUGACACCUAGCCUAUCUCAAUUGUCCCUUACUGUAUGAGUCGUAUAGAGAUGGAAGAACUAAGGAAACAAAUCAAGGAAUUACAGGAUAGUGGGUUCAUCGACACAGUGUAUCUCUUUAAGGUAUUAGAGCCACAUUUGUAAAGAAAGGGGAUGGGACUCUGAGACUAUGCAUCGAUUACAGGAAAUUGAACAGAGUCACAAUCAAGAACAAGUAACCCCUUCUCUAGAAUUGAUGACCUUUUU
rnacentral:lncRNA from 1 species